UUAACCCAUUUAACAACUCAACCCAUCAAAUGAAAUGAGUUAUGGGUUAGACCCAACUCAUUUAACAAAAUGAGUUGGGUCUAACCCAUAAUUCAUUUAAUCAUAAAUUCAUUUGAUUAUGAAU
rnacentral:pre_miRNA from 1 species